CCCCGCUGCCCUCGAUGGGCGUUUCCUCCCUAGACUUCGGGCCGCUCCUCGUGGGCGGCCUCUUUUUUGGGCCGUC
rnacentral:sRNA from 21 species